CUAAUACAUGCAAGUCGAGCGCAGGAAGCAGACUGAUCUCCUUCGGGAGUGACGUUUGUGGAACGAGCGGCGGACGGGUGAGUAACACGUGGGCAACCUGCCUGUAAGACCGGGAUAACUCGCGGAAACGUGAGCUAAUACCGGAUAAAGCUCCAUGCCGCAUGGCAUGGGGAUGAAAGACGGCUUAGCUGUCGCUUGCAGAUGGGCCCGCGGCGCAUUAGCUAGUUGGUGGGGUAAUGGCCUACCAAGGCGACGAUGCGUAGCCGACCUGAGAGGGUGACCGGCCACACUGGGACUGAGACACGGCCCAGACUCCUACGGGAGGCAGCAGUAGGGAAUCUUCCGCAAUGGACGCAAGUCUGACGGAGCAACGCCGCGUGAGCGAUGAAGGUCUUCGGAUCGUAAAGCUCUGUUGUCAGGGAAGAACACGUGUGAGAGUAACUGCUCACACCUUGACGGUACCUGACCAGAAAGCCACGGCUAACUACGUGCCAGCAGCCGCGGUAAUACGUAGGUGGCAAGCGUUGUCCGGAAUUAUUGGGCGUAAAGGGCUCGCAGGCGGUCCCUUAAGUCUGAUGUGAAAUCUUGCGGCUUAACCGCAAGCGGUCAUUGGAAACUGGGGGACUUGAGUACAGAAGAGGAGAGUGGAAUUCCACGUGUAGCGGUGAAAUGCGUAGAGAUGUGGAGGAACACCAGUGGCGAAGGCGG
rnacentral:rRNA from 1 species